AGAUAAUAUUUGACAUGUUACAGUUUAUAUAGACAAUGCAGUAAAUUGUUCCUAAUUCACCAAAACAGGUUUUGACUUCAAAAUACAGCUCGGAGACAGAUAGAGAAUCUUACUUUGGUUUUCUGGUUCCUACCAGAUACGGGGUCUGGUUAGAGUUACUGCUGAUCCAGGUUCUUGUCCCUAACACAUCUUUCAUAGGACACUUGGGUGGUAUAUUAGCUGGUCUUGUAUUGGUGAAAGGACCUAUUGGAGGAAUUUCAAGUGUAUUUAGAUCAUACAGUAUGGUUCCCUAUGGUGGUCUCCUUCUCUGCCUCCUGGUCCUGGUUACUCGGUAUACGGAUUACUUUUUUGGCCACCCUCUGACAGGAUGUUU
rnacentral:lncRNA from 1 species